GAUGAACGCUGGCGGCGUGCCUAAUACAUGCAAGUAGAACGCUGAAGGAGGAGCUUGCUCUUCUGGAUGAGUUGCGAACGGGUGAGUAACGCGUAGGUAACCUGCCUGGUAGCGGGGGAUAACUAUUGGAAACGAUAGCUAAUACCGCAUGACAACAGUUAUUGCAUGAUAACUGUUUAAAAGGGGCAACUGCUCCACUACCAGAUGGACCUGCGUUGUAUUAGCUAGUUGGUGAGGUAACGGCUCACCAAGGCGACGAUACAUAGCCGACCUGAGAGGGUGAUCGGCCACACUGGGACUGAGACACGGCCCAGACUCCUACGGGAGGCAGCAGUAGGGAAUCUUCGGCAAUGGACGGAAGUCUGACCGAGCAACGCCGCGUGAGUGAAGAAGGUUUUCGGAUCGUAAAGCUCUGUUGUAAGAGAAGAACGAGUGUGAAAGUGGAAAGUUCACACUGUGACGGUAUCUUACCAGAAAGGGACGGCUAACUACGUG
rnacentral:rRNA from 1 species